rnacentral:rRNA from 1 species
UACGUAGGGUGCGAGCGUUAAUCGGAAUUACUGGGCGUAAAGCGUGCGCAGGCGGCGCGUUAAGACAGGUGUGAAAGCCCCGAGCUUAACUUGGGAAUUGCGCUUGUGACUGGCGUGCUGGAGUGUGGCAGAGGGAGGUGGAAUUCCACGUGUAGCAGUGAAAUGCGUAGAGAUGUGGAGGAACACCGAUGGCGAAGGCAGCCUCCUGGGCCAGCACUGACGCUCAUGCACGAAAGACGUGGGGAGCAAACAGG